UACUGACGCUGAGGUACGAAAGCAUGGGGAGCAAACAGGAUUAGAUACCCUGGUAGUCCAUGCGUAAACGAUGUCUACUAGCCGUUGGGGCGUUUGAGGCUUUAGUGGCGCAGCUAACGCGAUAAGUAGACCGCCUGGGGAGUACGGUCGCAAGACUAAAACUCAAAUGAAUUGACGGGGGCCCGCACAAGCGGUGGAGCAUGUGGUUUAAUUCGAUGCAACGCGAAGAACCUUACCUGGCCUUGACAUACUAGAAACUUUCCAGAGAUGGAUUGGUGCCUUCGGGAAUCUAGAUACAGGUGCUGCAUGGCUGUCGUCAGCUCGUGUCGUGAGAUGUUGGGUUAAGUCCCGCAACGAGCGCAACCCUUUUCCUUACUUGCCAGCAUUUCGGAUGGGAACUUUAAGGAUACUGCCAGUGACAAACUGGAGGAAGGCGGGGACGACGUCAAGUCAUCAUGGCCCUUACGGCCAGGGCUACACACGUGCUACAAUGGUCGGUACAAAGGGUUGCUACACAGCGAUGUGAUGCUAAUCUCAAAAAGCCGAUCGUAGUCCGGAUUGGAGUCUGCAACUCGACUCCAUGAAGUCGGAGUCGCUAGUAAUCGCGGAUCAGAAUGCCGCGGUGAAUACGUUCCCGGGCCUUGUACACACCGCCCGUCACACCAUGGGAGUUUGUUGCACCAGAAGUAGCUAGCCUAACUGCAAAGAGGGCGGUUACCACGGUGUGGCCGAUGACUGGGGUG
rnacentral:rRNA from 1 species